rnacentral:lncRNA from 1 species
AUUGCAAGAAAAUGGUGUUUUAUCUUAUAUACCUCUACUUGUCUUUGCAGGGAUUGCACAUAGUUGAUGAUCUCGUCGAGCAUACCGGCUUUCCCGGUGACCUUGUUGCACCCGGGGACCAAAUCUUGCAGGUAUUUCAUCCUCUCACUUAUUUUCUCGCGUCGAACCUGCAACCAUCAGAGCCAUAAAUCAGAACAAAUAUUCACAUGAUGAAAUCAAGGUGUCAUCCAACAUAGGGAAUGGCUUAUUUUUUCUUACUCUUUCAGCCAAGCUAUGGCUGUCAGUUGCCUGGCCGCGACGCGCCCGGACGUGGAUGUAAUCGGUCUUGGGCGCGUCGGCGACCUUCUUCGCAUUAGCAGAUGACAUUCCUUUGCUGUUCUUGUUAGCUGAAGUGCUAAUGGUGGUGGUGGUGCUUUUGCUGUUGCUGUUUUGCUCUGUCAUCUUAGAUUCCUCCUCUGCGCAUCCCUUCAUCUUUUUCUCCUCUGCAGCUAUCUGAAUACAGCAAAAAACACAUUCUUGAUCAACAAAUCUUCAUUUUGGUGCGUGUGUUGGUCUACUGGUAGAGUGAUUAAUGUUCGAGUCCACGCCUUCUUUUUUUUCAUUGAUUGAAAAGAAUCUUCAUGCUGCAUAUAAUUCAAAUAGGAAACAGAGCUAUAAUACCUUGAGGUUGUGGCUUUUGUCAGCCUUCCUCUUCUUGCAGCUCUCUUUCCCGGCGGCCGAGUCGACGCUGGCCGCCACAUUGGGCGGGCAGCUGACAGUUCUAGGGAGAUUGCAGCUCAUUUCCAAGUCCCCACCGUUGCCAUAAUUCAGAAACCUCCGGAAGUCGUCGUUUUCGAUGCCGGGGUCCGG